GAAAAGUAAUGUAAUCUGUAUUGUUACUAUUGUAAAUAUGACUAGACUGUGUGAACCAGAAUAAAAUGUAGUUAGCAGACUGGAUUGUCUUUUAAAGGUCCCGUUGUCAUGCCGAGUCCAAGCUAGUUCCCAAAUAAUGUAACAUCAAUGUGAGCAGUUCCCCGCAAAAAGAAUUGAUAAAACCAUGAGAGAGAGACCACAACACGAGUGACAAAAACGGGACCAAGUUCCCGCAUAAUA
rnacentral:lncRNA from 1 species